AGUAGGACGCACAGUUUAUACCGUAGCUUGCUACACCAUAGACUGUGAGUUGCGAACGGGUGAGUAACGCGUAGGUAACCUGCCUAUUAGAGGGGGAUAACUAUUGGAAACGAUAGCUAAUACCGCAUAACAGUAUGUAACACAUGUUAGAUGCUUGAAAGAUGCAAUUGCAUCGCUAGUAGAUGGACCUGCGUUGUAUUAGCUAGUAGGUAGGGUAAUGGCCUACCUAGGCGACGAUACAUAGCCGACCUGAGAGGGUGAUCGGCCACACUGGGACUGAGACACGGCCCAGACUCCUACGGGAGGCAGCAGUAGGGAAUCUUCGGCAAUGGGGGGAACCCUGACCGAGCAACGCCGCGUGAGUGAAGAAGGUUUUCGGAUCGUAAAGCUCUGUUGUUAAGGAAGAACGAGUGUGAGAAUGGAAAGUUCAUACUGUGACGGUACUUAACCAGAAAGGGACGGCUAACUACGUGCCAGCAGCCGCGGUAAUACGUAGGUCCCGAGCGUUGUCCGGAUUUAUUGGGCGUAAAGCGAGCGCAGGCGGUUAGAAAAGUCUGAAGUGAAAGGCAGUGGCUCAACCAUUGUAGGCUUUGGAAACUGUUUAACUUGAGUGCAGAAGGGGAGAGUGGAAUUCCAUGUGUAGCGGUGAAAUGCGUAGAUAUAUGGAGGAACACCGGUGGCGAAAGCGGCUCUCUGGUCUGUAACUGACGCUGAGGCUCGAAAGCGUGGGGAGCGAACAGGAUUAGAUACCCUGGUAGUC
rnacentral:rRNA from 5 species